ACCGGGAUAAGCCCCACGGAGUCUUUGGGACUGUGCGAGAAAAGGGGAGGGACCUUCGGGCCUUCGGUCAUCAGAUGAGUCUGUGUACCAUUAGCUAGUUGGUAGGGUAAUGGCCUACCAAGGCUACGAUGGUUAGCUGGUCUGAGAGGAUGAUCACCCACACUGGAACUGAGACACGGUCCAGACUCCUACGGGAGGCAGCAGUGGGGAAUUUUGCGCAAUGGGCGAAAGCCUGACGCAGCAACGCCGCGUGAGUGAUGAAGGCUUUCGGGUCGUAAAGCUCUGUCGAGGGGAAAGAAAUGUAUUGUGGCUAAUGCCCGCGAUACUUGACGGUACCCCUAAAGGAAGCACCGGCUAACUCCGUGCCAGCAGCCGCGGUAAUACGGGGGGUGCAAGCGUUGUUCGGAAUUAUUGGGCGUAAAGCGCGUGUAGGCGGUCUGAUUAGUCUGAUGUGAAAGCCCUGGGCUCAACCCAGGAAGUGCAUUGGAUACUGUCAGACUUGAAUACGGGAGAGGGUAGUGGAAUUCCUAGUGUAGGAGUGAAAUCCGUAGAUAUUAGGAGGAACACCGGUGGCGAAGGCGGCUACCUGGACCGAUAUGA
rnacentral:rRNA from 1 species